UGGGCUCUAACUUUCUGCCUGCUAAU
rnacentral:misc_RNA from 1 species